rnacentral:rRNA from 1 species
UACAGAGGGGGCAAGCGUUGUUCGGAAUUACUGGGCGUAAAGGGCGCGUAGGCGGCCAACUAAGUCAUACGUGAAAUCCCUCAGCUUAACUGGGGAACUGCGUGUGAUACUGGAUGGCUUGGAUGUGGGAGAGGGAUGCGGAAUUCCAGGUGUAGCGGUGAAAUGCGUAGAUAUCUGGAGGAACACCGGUGGCGAAGGCGGCAUCCUGGACCAUUAUUGACGCUGAGGAGCGAAAGCCAGGGGAGCAAACGGG